GACGAACGCUGGCGGCGUGCUUAACACAUGCAAGUCGAACGGAAAGGCCCUGCUUUUGUGGGGUGCUCGAGUGGCGAACGGGUGAGUAACACGUGAGUAACCUGCCCUUGACUUUGGGAUAACUUCAGGAAACUGGGGCUAAUACCGGAUAGGAGCUCCUGCUGCAUGGUGGGGGUUGGAAAGUUUCGGCGGUUGGGGAUGGACUCGCGGCUUAUCAGCUUGUUGGUGGGGUAGUGGCUUACCAAGGCUUUGACGGGUAGCCGGCCUGAGAGGGUGACCGGCCACAUUGGGACUGAGAUACGGCCCAGACUCCUACGGGAGGCAGCAGUGGGGAAUAUUGCACAAUGGGCGGAAGCCUGAUGCAGCAACGCCGCGUGCGGGAUGACGGCCUUCGGGUUGUAAACCGCUUUCGCCUGUGACGAAGCGUGAGUGACGGUAAUGGGUAAAGAAGCACCGGCUAACUACGUGCCGGCAGCCGCGGUGAUACGUAGGGUGCGAGCGUUGUCCGGAUUUAUUGGGCGUAAAGGGCUCGUAGGUGGUUGAUCGCGUCGGAAGUGUAAUCUUGGGGCUUAACCCUGAGCGUGCUUUCGAUACGGGUUGACUUGAGGAAGGUAGGGGAGAAUGGAAUUCCUGGUGGAGCGGUGGAAUGCGCAGAUAUCAGGAGGAACACCAGUGGCGAAGGCGGUUCUCUGGGCCUUUCCUGACGCUGAGGAGCGAAAGCGUGGGGAGCGAACAGGCUUAGAUACCCUGGUAGUCCACGCUGUAAACGGUGGGUACUAGGUGUGGGGUCCAUUCCACGGGUUCCGUGCCGUAGCUAACGCUUUAAGUACCCCGCCUGGGGAGUACGGCCGCAAGGCUAAAACUCAAAGGAAUUGACGGGGCCCCGCACAAGCGGCGGAGCAUGCGGAUUAAUUCGAUGCAACGCGUAGAACCUUACCUGGGUUUGACAUGGAUCGGGAGUGCUCAGAGAUGGGUGUGCCUCUUUUGGGGUCGGUUCACAGGUGGUGCAUGCCUGUCGUCAGCUCGUGUCGUGAGAUGUUGGGUUAAGUCCCGCAACGAGCGCAACCCUUGUUCACUGUUGCCAGCACGUUAUGGUGGGGACUCAGUGGAGACCGCCGGGGUCAACUCGGAGGAAGGUGGGGAUGACGUCAAGUCCUCAUGCCCCUUAUGUCCAGGGCUUCACGCAUGCUACAAUGGCUGGUACAGAGAGUGGCGAGCCUGUGAGGGUGAGCGAAUCUCGGAAAGCCGGUCUCAGUUCGGAUUGGGGUCUGCAACUCGACCUCAUGAAGUCGGAGUCGCUAGUAAUCGCAGAUCAGCAACGCUGCGGUGAAUACGUCCCCGGG
rnacentral:rRNA from 1 species